rnacentral:rRNA from 1 species
AAGCUUUGUUGAUAGCGUUAAAGCUUAUUAAUAGUAAUAAUACAAAAAAUUUUAAAGAGAGUAAUUUUAUGUUGUAAUAUUUUAUAAAGGAAUUCUAUUAGUUUAGAAGUUAUAAUGUUGAAAUUAGUAGGGUUACAAUGUAUAUCUUUUGUGAAUUAAUCAUACCUAACAUUGGAUGGGGCAAAUAUUUUUAAAUCAAGAAAUUAAUUUGUAUUAUUGUCUGCUAACACAAGUGAUAAUAUUUUUAUUUUAAAUAAGGGAAAGGAACUCGGCAAAUUUAUAUUUNNNNNNNNNNNNNNNNNNNNCGCUCUUUGUAAAGGAUCUGAUAUAUAAAGAGUCCUGCCUGCCCAGUGACUAAUUUAGUUUAACGGCCGCGGUAUAUUGACCGUGCAAAGGUAGCAUAAUCAUUUGCCUCUUAAAUUGGGGCUGGAAUGAAUGGCAAGACGGGAAUUAAGCUGUCUCUCUCUUAUAGUUUGAAGUUAAUGUUUUUGUGAAGAAACAGAAAUGUAAUCGUAGGACGAGAAGACCCUAUCGAGCUUUAAUAUAUGAGGAUGCAAUAUAUUUAUUAUUGUUUAAUGCUAAUUGUUUUUUUAAUUUAUUGUAAAGUUACUGGUUAGGAACAAUGGUGUUGUGCAUAUUGUAUUUUGGUUGGGGCAAUCGCGGAGAAUAAGUAUCCUCCGCUAUUUUUUUAAAAAAAUCUUUUUAGGCUUAAAUAUUUAAAUUAAAGUGAUCCACUAGAAUAGUGAUAAAAAGAAUAAGUUACCGUAGGGAUAACAGCGUAAUUUUUUUGGAGAGUUCUUAUUGAUAAAAAAGUUUGCGACCUCGAUGUUGGAUCGGGAUUUCCUAAGGGUGUAGUUGUUCUUAAGGGUUGGUCUGUUCGACCAUUAAAAUCCU